UAACCUUGGUCAAUAUUGUCAUUGAAGAAACUAUAACAAUUGUCAGACGGCACUGGUCAAGUACAUCAUCAGUAUGCAUUUUAUAUUAAAAAAUAAUGAGAAAUAUUACACAGAACUGAACUGAACUUUUUUAUGUAAAAUCUAUGAUGAACUAUUAUAGUGAAAUGGUCGUUUUGAACUAGGAUCAACAUUUAUAUCUUUCUUAUUCAUUAUAUGGACUAUCCCCAUAAGUUUGCAUUUUAAUUAAAACUGGACAUAUUUACAAAGAGAUCACUGUUCCUAAAGAUCACUAUAAAUGAAAAUAUAGUAUUAAAACUGCAAAGAAGAAAAAUAUCCGUAUAUUGUGGUAAGAGUGGAAAAACGAAUUGUGUAAGAAACUUCAAGGACGUUUAUCGGAUAAGAUAUCAGAAAUAAUGAGGAAAUAAUGUGUGAUAUUUGUAAAGUGUCAUUCUCUGUAGAAUGUAACCACAUUCAGCUUGAUGAGAAGCCAUGUUGUAAUGAUAUGUGGCUAUUCAUUCUUUCAGAAUAAAAAGUUAACUAUGCAUAAAUGUAGUAAUACAGAAGAGAUACCAUUUCA
rnacentral:lncRNA from 1 species